rnacentral:rRNA from 1 species
AGUGAACGCUGGCGGUAGGCCUAACACAUGCAAGUCGAACGGCAGCACAGUAAGGGCUUGCUCUUACGGGUGGCGAGUGGCGGACGGGUGAGGAAUACAUCGGAAUCUACUUUUUCGUGGGGGAUAACGUAGGGAAACUUACGCUAAUACCGCAUACGACCUACGGGUGAAAGCAGGGGAUCUUCGGACCUUGCGCGAUUGAAUGAGCCGAUGUCGGAUUAGCUAGUUGGCGGGGUAAAGGCCCACCAAGGCGACGAUCCGUAGCUGGUCUGAGAGGAUGAUCAGCCACACUGGAACUGAGACACGGUCCAGACUCCUACGGGAGGCAGCGGUGGGGAAGAUUGGACAAUGGGCGCAAGCCUGAUCCAGCCAUACCGCGUGGGUGAAGAAGGCCUUCGGGUUGUAAAGCCCUUUUGUUGGGAAAGAAAAGCAGCAGGUUAAUACCCCGCUGUUCUGACGGUACCCAAAGAAUAAGCACCGGCUAACUUCGUG